UAUGGGGAGCUUCUAGGUCUAAUGCUGUUCCUCUGCUUUUGAGAUGAUAGAGAUCUCAAACAAAGGUCGCUGUUUAAGACUGUGUGACGUUCAACGGCAGAAUCUGGAACGCUCACCCAUAGCAGGGCACAUCUGAAUCAAUGUGAGACAUGAUUACAUUUAGUAACAUAAUACAUUAUCUCCUCAAGAGUUUCUGCUAGAAUCCAGACUCUAAACGAAGCUUUGGGUCCCUCACAUUGCCCUGUCAUGGGCCAUAAUGUAGUCUUUUAUCAUCGUACUUUUCAAUUAGAUCAUGACUUUUAACAUGCAGAGUUGGAAAUUCUGGUUACCCAUGAAAAACUAUUAAAAGAUAGUGCCUGGAAAACAUAGAAGCCAUCCAAACACUCUGGUGCUGUAGGACAUAUGUCCCUGUGCAGCUCUCCCAUGGGAAGGGUGUCGUCGCUUCCAGGCUUUUGUGGCAAUCAGUACCUACGUGGCUGCUUAACAGGCAGAAGCCCUAAUAAUAAGCAUCUCAUUAGAAGAGCAGUAAACGGUUCUGUCACUGAUUGGAAAAUGUUGAGACGAAGCAGCGUUUCCCCUCGUGGGAGACUCAGGAUCCCUCAAAAACAUCACUAACGUGUUCCUUCAGGUCAGCCAGGCCCCUAGCGCUUCGGUUUCUUAUCUGGAAUCCCAGCGAAACAGACUCAAGUGCCUCCCUGCAGAAGGUUGAUUUUGGGAGGCUCGUUCUCUUCAUUAGGCAGUGGAGGGUUCUGAAGAACAGCUUGUUUAGCUCCUGGAAAAAAAGAAAACCCACACCCAUUUUACAAAAUCCAGUCUGUUGUGAAGUUCAUUCUUAGUAUUUAACCAUACAAGCAAAACAUUUAUAACAAUGCAUAAAGCAGGAAAUUAAUGUAAAGGCCGCUAAGCUGUCAGAAGAAAGGGUGACCUUUGAUGUUGGAAAUCACCAGAGGUUUCCCCGGUUCUGCAUGGGUACGUCAUGGAGUGCUUCACUCAAGGCAUUUUAAGUCUGUGAUCCUUAUGUAUUUAUUUAUUUUUAAAGGCAAAUUUAGAUGUAUGCUCUACGUACGUGUCACUGUAAGACACAAUGGAAGAAAGGUGAAGUGCACUACGUAUCAUUUUCCAAAAUAAAGACUAACGACAAAAACAGUGCUGUAUUUUAUUAAAUAGGCUGAAUGCUGCUCUAUCUCUUUGUCAGUUCCCAGCAGAAAAUACCUUCUUCAGCGAAAAGCAAGA
ensembl:lncRNA